GCCCAGGUGGUGAAAUUGGUAGACACGCUAGUUUCAGGUACUAGUGCCGCGAGGUUUGGGAGUUCGAGUCUCCCUCUGGGCA
rnacentral:tRNA from 1 species